rnacentral:lncRNA from 1 species
AUUCAUUUCACUUGACUGGGCAGGGUUUAACCGGUUUGCGUAUCAAGACCAGUCCAUCUACAGACAGGUGUUUUGGGAUAAAAUCACCAAUGAAGUGUCCAGUUAUUCGUCCCAUAUCAUGCACUCGGUUCAUUUGUAUAUCCAUUUGGUAACAUUGAUAAGUGAUUAGAAAUCAAUAAUGAUUAUAACGGAAUUCAUCCUUAUCACACACAUCUUCUAAUAGACUGUCCAUAUGCAAAUUAAAACGUAAACUCCG